GACGAACGCUGGCGGCGUGCUUAACACAUGCAAGUCGAACGGAAAGGCCCUGCUUUUGUGGGGUGCUCGAGUGGCGAACGGGUGAGUAACCCGUGAGUAACCUGCCCUUGACUUUGGGAUAACUUCAGGAAACUGGGGCUAAUACCGGAUAGGCGCUCCUGCUGCAUGGUGGGGGUUGGAAAGUUUCGGCGGUUGGGGAUGGACUCGCGGCUUAUCAGCUUGUUGGUGGGGUAGUGGCUUACCAAGGCUUUGACGGGUAGCCGGCCUGAGAGGGUGACCGGCCACAUUGGGAGUGAGAUACGGCCCAGACUCCUACGGGAGGCAGCAGUGGGGAAUAUUGCACAAUGGGCGGAAGCCUGAUGCAGCAACGCCGCGUGCGGGAUGACGGCCUUCGGGUUGUAAACCGCUUUCGCCUGUGACGAAGCGUGAGUGACGGUAAUGGGUAAAGAAGCACCGGCUAACUACGUG
rnacentral:rRNA from 1 species